GACGAACGCUGGCGGCGUGCCUAAUACAUGCAAGUAGAACGCUGAAGAGAGGAGCUUGCUCUUCUUGGAUGAGUUGCGAACGGGUGAGUAACGCGUAGGUAACCUGCCUGGUAGCGGGGGAUAACUAUUGGAAACGAUAGCUAAUACCGCAUGAAAUUGCUUAUCGCAUGAUAAUUGAUUGAAAGAUGCAAUUGCAUCACUACCAGAUGGACCUGCGUUGUAUUAGCUAGUUGGUGAGGUAACGGCUCACCAAGGCGACGAUACAUAGCCGACCUGAGAGGGUGAGCGGCCACACUGGGACUGAGACACGGCCCAGACUCCUACGGGAGGCAGCAGUAGGGAAUCGUCGGCAAUGGGGGGAACCCUGACCGAGCAACGCCGCGUGAGUGAAGAAGGUUUUCGGAUCGUAAAGCUCUGUUGUAAGAGAAGAACGGGUGUGAGAGUGGAAAGUUCACACUGUGACGGUAGCUUACCAGAAAGGGACGGCUAACUACGUG
rnacentral:rRNA from 1 species